rnacentral:rRNA from 1 species
AUACGGAGGGUGCAAGCGUUACUUGGAAUCACUGGGCGUAAAGCGCGCGCAGGCGGUCUUUUAAGUUGGAUGUGAAAGCCUACGGCUCAACCGUAGAACUGCAUCCAAAACUAUUAGACUAGAGUGUGGGAGAGGAAGAUGGAAUUAGUUGUGUAGGGGUAAAAGCCGUAGAGAUAACUAGGAAUACCAAAAGCGAAGGCAAUCUUCUGGAACACUACUGACGCUGAGGCGCGAAAGCGUGGGGAGCAAACGGGAUUAGAAACCCCGGUAGUCC